AGCGCGCGGCACCGCGGUGACGUCAGCCGGGAGGGUACGGCACCGCGGUGACGUCACAGUCGGGAGCGCAUGGCGCACAGGCUAAUUUCUGCACUUCGAUGACGCCACAAAGUGGCGUUGGAGGGGCAGCGGUGACCGCUCGCCCUGUGAAACGUGGCCGCCGACACGCCGCUGACGUCACGUUCGGGCAGACUUAGAGGGCCGAAAGUGUCGCAGGUUGGGCAGCACGCGCUCGUGGAACUGGUGCACCACGUCAGCCAGCGUGGCGCGCAGGGAGACGUCCUCCACCUCGUCCACGAACGGGGCGAUGAGGUGGGCCUGCUGGAGGCCCCACCGCCCGUCCGAGCAGAGCGCCGCCCGGCACGGCUCGUGGAACUCCUGCGAGCGCGUGGAGAGACAACGCGGCAUCGUCGUCAGCAUCAGAAUCGUCACCGGCAUCGUCAUCAAUGAUAUGGUCAUCAUCUUUACAAUUAUCAUGUUCAACAUCGUCAUCGCCAUCAUCAUCAUCAUCAACGUUUGAAUCGCCAACAGCAUUGUUUUCAUCAAUGACAUGACCAUCAUCAUCAACAAUGACAUUUCAUUGUCAUUUUCAACAUCAUCAUCGUCGUCAUCAAUAUCCGAAUCAUCAGCAACAUCGUUAUCAUCAGUAACAUGCUCAUCAUUAUCACAAUGAUCGUUUUCAACAUUGUCAUCGUCGUCGUCAUCAAUGUCCGAAUCGUCAACAGGCUGGACUAAAGCUUUCAAAUGAAAUAAAAAGACGUUGCAUA